rnacentral:misc_RNA from 1 species
GAAAUGCGAUAAGUAAUGUGAAUUGCAGAAUUCAGUGAAUCAUCGAAUCUUUGAACGCACCUUGCGCUCCUUGGUAUUCCUUGGAGCAUGCCUGUUUGAGCAUCAUGAAAUCUUCAAAGUAAAUCUUUUGUUAACUCAAUUGGUUUCUACUUUGGUAUUGGAGGUCUUUGCAGCUUCACACCUGCUCCUCUUUGUUCAUUAGCUGGAUCUCAGUGUUAUGCUUGGUUCCACUCGGCGUGAUAAGUUAUCUAUCGCUGAGGACACUGUAAAAGGUGGCCAAGGUAAAUGCAGAUGAACCGCUUCUAAUAGUCCAUUGACUUGGACAAUACUUUUAUGAUCUGAUCUCAAAUCAGGUAGGACUACCCGCUGAACUUGAGC